UUCACUAAUUUUGCCUUUUUGUUGUUGGGGGUGACUUCUUCCCAGGGAUGUUCUUCUUGAUCCCCCGGGGCAAAGGGAGGUGUCAGCGUCAGGAGCCAUCCUAACUGGGGCCCUGGUAGGUCAGUGCUUUUUGUGUGACUGGACGGUGAAGCUGUCUGUGGGAAUGACCUGGCUAGUGCUCAGUGUAGUCCUAAUUAAGGUGUCUUUUACUCCGUGUUCCCAGGCUCCCUGUUUUCCUUCGGUCGCCGUGGGUGUGCCGGCCGCCUCUGGCAGGACUAACCCUGUGGCUUUUAUGUCCAACGUGCUGUGCUGUGUGUGCCUGCAGGUGGUUGGUGUUUCUGCAGUGUUUGGCACAGGACUGGGGGAGAUUUUUACCCAGCUUUCUAAAGCUGUAGAUGAAUAGGAGAGACUGAAUGCACUCCCUUUAUUCACCUUUUCAGAGAGUAUCGGCCAGAAUACGAGCGCCUGAGAAAAACACUGGUAAGUGUUUUUAGCUGUUUUACACCUGAACAGUGUAUCUUGGGUCACUUUUGUGCACACAAUUGCCUUUAUG